rnacentral:rRNA from 2 species
UGGGGAAUUUUGCACAAUGGGGGAAACCCUGAUGCAGCGACGCCGCGUGAUUUAGAAGGCCUUCGGGUUGUAAAAAUCUUUUCUAUGGGAAGAAAAUGACAGUACCAUAGGAAUAAGGACUGGCUAAUUACGUGCCAGCAGCCGCGGUAAUACGUAAGGUCCGAGCGUUGUCCGGAAUCAUUGGGCGUAAAGGGUACGUAGGCGGGUAAGCAAGUUAGAAGUGAAAUCCUAUAGCUCAACUAUAGUAAGCUUUUAAAACUGCUCAUCUUGAGGUAUGGAAGGGAAAGUGGAAUUCCUAGUGUAGCGGUGAAAUGCGCAGAUAUUAGGAGGAAUACCGGUGGCGAAGGCGACUUUCUGGCCAUAACCUGACGCUGAGGUACGAAAGCGUGGGUAGCAAACAGG